GGAAGUGGAAACUAACAAAACAAACACGUCCAAAAGGAAGUCACCUGUGCUUCAUCCGGGAAACCCGCCCCCCACCCCGGGGCACCAGGUGCACCCGCUACCUCAUCGGAGGCUCAGGCAGGAGGACAGGCAGUGAGCCCUUAACUAUAUAGUCCUUAAGAGACGCUAGCACGAUGCCAUUCAUGACUAAUGAAGGCAGGAAACACAACAGAGCCAGAAUACCUGGAGAACUCAGAAAUGGGAUCUCGUCCAAGAUGUGAGACCCUCGGGUGGAGACGGGCCAACCCCACAGGAGCUUCUCAGGAUGCCACUGCCCGAUGAAGCUGCUGAGAUGGCCACAUGGUGAUUCUGGAAGAGGAGACCCAGGCUUGACAAGGGUGACUCUUCCAUGACAGGCCCAGACGCCUGCAGGCCACUUGACUUCUGUGUUAUGCGUGGAGGCCGCAGUACCCAUCCCGGGCCACCGACUGGUGAGGCCACUUGCUCAGCUCGUGAGGGGCGCAGAGUGAGCUCUCCGCUGUUUGCUGCAAAGACCUGAUAUUGAGCUAAAGAAGAAAGCCAAGUGUUUGCUGUUGCAGGAGAAACAGCAAUCUGCAGAAUCCUGGAUUCUGUCCUUCACUGAGACCAGAUGCCUGGGUCGAGCUGAUUGUGAGACAUCGCCACCUCAAGGCCAAGUGACUAGCUCCUUCUCUGAUACGGAACUUUGAGAGAGUUUGGAGGCGGACGUGUACUGAAGCGGACUGUCAGGAUAAUGAGCACCUGUAAGGUUAAGGGGAUCAAUUUGCAGAAUGGAGGGUGGAAGCCCAGAGAAGAGGAUUGGAGGUGGCUCACACCCAUAGGUAUCUACAUGCCAAUUAUUGCAAAGAGUGUCUAAAAAAGGUAAACGAGAAGGCAAAAUAACAGCUAAUCAUGUUCUGGGCUACCUCAAGGCCAAGGAGGAACAGACUUCAAGAAUUAAGAAAGUAAUGGGGAUAUUGAUUAAGCGUCUCCGAUGUAUCACCUACCUUCCUUUGCUCUGACCUUCAAAGGCCCAAAGCUGCAGGUCAAACAGACCAGGCAAAUCCUUGGUAACAAACCAGCUGAGCUGUCCAUCCACAAACAUGCAUUUUCCCCCGACUUUGAGGGGCGACGAUGACAGUGAUGCCAGUUACCUGCACUUCUGUGUCAGCCACCAUUCCACCACCCCGGAGUGGGUUUUCCAUUGUUACGAUGUGCUUAGAACUGGCCUGGAUAGUUCUGCUCAAGGUCUAGUGCUGGGAUGCACAUAGAUGCCUUUAAAAUAAGCAAUGAGUUUGAUGAGACAUUUAGAGCAAUUUUCAAUGCGAAAAAAAGGUAACAACUAUGUUUAUAAAUUUGGUAUGAUCUCAAAAUCAACACCCAGCUGCAUAUACAUUCUGCUAACAAACAGGAGCACAUUGUGAUCAGCAAUUUAAAUAAUUCAGUCUGGCAUUAAUACUUGUAAGUUUGGCUUAAUGUGAAGUUUACUCUCAAUAAUCCCUUUGGCUGGAUUGAUGUGGUUUUAUUUGCUUGUGCAUUUACAGUCAUGUAUUUAUUUUUUCUAUCCAUUUAUAUACAAAUAGCAUGCACAUACAUAAAAAAUUUCAAAUUGGAAACCGGACAGAAAAGUAUAAAAUAAAAAAUAGAAGUGUCUUCAACAAAAAGACCUUCCAAAAUAUGCAACUCUUUCCUCGUUAUUGCAAACACAUUAUUUUUAACCAUUGAAAAUAUGUUUUUUUUGGGCUAUGGGACUUAAUACUUCCUCAGGGAACACUGUGAUGAUACUACUAAUAAUUUUCAGGAGCCUAAUGUGAUUUGAGAGUAUAACUACAUUGGGAAUAGUGGGAAGUGGAUUUACUCGAGUGAAGUUACGCCACGGUGAGUGUGCAGGUGUGCACACACUUUUCAUUUUAAUAUAGAGAAAUUACUUUCUAGCCCAGUGUUGUCCAAACCACCCCUGCUGAUGAAAAUGUUCUAUAUAAAGCUCUGUUGUCUAGUGGGUAAACUCUAAGCACGUGUGUCUUAAAAUAUGGCUAGUCUGACUGAAGAACUGAAUUUCAGCUUAAUUUAAGUUAAUGUUAUGUGUGACCCCGAGGAACUUGCGAAUGCUGGAUUAACACUCUAGCCUUUGCCCUUAGCGUGAAGACAUAAACCUUUCCCUCUGUUAUCUGCUCUAUUUGAAGGCCAACAUGGCGUGUGUGUGUCUCGUGGCUAGUUUCUUCUUCUCCUCACCCUCCUCUCCUCCUUUCCCUCCUCCCCCUCCUCCACUUCUGUGAUCAGCCAUUCAAUACACUUCGCAAAGCUUUCUGUUUGCUUAUGCAUCUUUUUUUAUCAUUCAUUUGUAACAUGUUUCCAUUUUAAUUCAUUAGCUUGCUGUGAUCUACAGGGAAAUUAUUUGACCUAACUUCCUCUUGUUCCCACAUCUAUAUAACUGUGAAGCCGAGAUUUAAAAUUUGUACGGGAGAACUUGACCCAUCUCUUCCUGUGUGGUGAUUGCUAUUUCUGUCCUAUUUAGAAAGAUUUCCAUCUCUCGGCUGAGGAAUGAGUUUGGACGUUUAGUUUCUAGUAAUUUCAUAAUGUUCAUGUUUAAAACGAGCCCAUUUGUGAUGUACUUCAAGGCCGGGCUUCUAAAACACGCAUCAGCGGGCCCAGGGAGGCUGACAGGGCUGGGCUGGGGUGCUGGAGGGGAACGGCCUGCCCCUGUCCUCUGGGGCAUCAUCCCUUGUGUCUUGGCCUCGUCCCCCUUUCAAAGCCAGAAUUAUAGGCCUUCCAAUUUCUUUGACUCUGACGCACUCUUCUUCCCCUCCCCCCACCUAAUUUUAAGGUGCACUGAGUGGCAAACUGACCCCUCCCCAACUAUAACUCCUUCUUUCCAUGUACCCCGACCUAGUCACGGCUUCCAGAGAUCAGGGUGGACUUUUUCGAUUAGAUGGGGUGUCACGGUUCUACUAGUGACAGAGGGUAAAUACAUAUUCACUUUAUAAUAACACUCAGACUCUUUUCUCACACAUCCGCUGAGAUCCAAUGUUGUAUUUUGCUAAACAAAUGUAUUUUUGUUAAUACUCACACAUUCUGGUUUCUAUGAAAAACUAAAUAAUCAUUCUUGGUUAAA